rnacentral:rRNA from 1 species
UGAACCUACGGGGCGCAGCAGCGGGGAAUAUUGCACAAUGGGGGAAACCCUGAUGCAGCGACGCCGCGUGAGUGAAGAAGUAUUUCGGUAUGUAAAGCUCUAUCAGCAGGGAAGAGAAUGACGGUACCUGAGUAAGAAGCCCCGGCUAACUACGUGCCAGCAGCCGCGGUAAUACGUAGGGGGCAAGCGUUAUCCGGAUUUACUGGGUGUAAUGGGAGCGUAGGCGGCCAUGCAAGUCAGAAGUGAAAACCCGGGGCUCAACCCUGGGAGUGCUUUUGAAACUGUGCGGCUAGAGUGUCGGAGGG